CCAAGAGAACACAGGAUCGUUGUCCCUUUUUUCAGGAUUUUCAAUUUUCAGUUAAAAUUUCAUUUCUAGCAUUUGCUUGUCAUCCUCGCUCUCACUGGAGGCAACAUGCUGAUUACACACACCAAAAUCAUUCCUUUCCCACCACCAAAACGCUGUGCUGUGUGUGGUGGGAUCUCACAGUUAUUUCACAGUGCUGAGCUGCAGUUUGCUGUUUUAGGAUGGGGAGUGAAGAUGAAUACCCUCUCCUGUUAAAGCUGUAGGGUGGUGGGAUGACAUCAAUGAGAAGUGAACACCUGGAAUGCUCCUUAGUCAGGAACAUGUGCUUUAGAAGGACUCCUCUGACAUCUUUGCCAAUAAAGAUGUUACCUUGUAGGUAUGUUCACUGUAGCAUCUAUUUCCUUCUUACCUUCAUCUCCAUUAUUUCGCUAAGACCACAUUUAUAUUCUGAGAGCUUUCAGUGUUAACAUUGGUCAAGAUCAAUGUUAAGUUCAACUGCCUCAUGUAUUACAGCUUAUUUUAGGGACUUGCUUUAGAAGCCAACCCUGUUAAUUCUUUUGAAUGUGAAUCUUGAAUUUAAGAGCUAUGCUUUCGUGGUGAUGUAACAUUUUCUUUUGUUUAACAUUUUUCUUUGUAUGUAUUUUUCCCCCACAAACGUUUUGUGGAAUGCACAAGAACAAGGCCCUCUCCGGCCUAUUUUGAGAGAAGCAUCUGUGAAAAGUGGAGUGGACAUUCUUAAAAAACUGAAAACUCUUACAAAGUUGUAAAAAGUUUAGUGCAAAUCGCUCUCACUUCAAAUCUGUCCACCUACCUGAAUCUCAUCUUCCCUGUUCUUUGGAAAAUGCAGAGGAGGAACAAAUCUCACUUUGAUGAAAUUGCUUCAUCUUGUUCCUUAACCACCUGAAUAACUCAAUAUGCUAAAAUUAUGCUUGGGAAACAUUAAAGAAGAAACAGAAGAAGAAUUCAAGAAGUUGACAGUGAUUUGUGUUGCUUUAUGCAUUUCUGCAUAGAACUUGAAUUAUUGAUUAGCUGUUAUUUCAGUAAUUGAUUUUUUUGCAAAUUUUCACUGCCCUUAUAGAAACCUGCAAGAAUGAAAAUGUUAAUUUGUAUUGUUGAAAUGAUCUAGUGUGUCUUUAAUGGCUUUUAUGAGGUGAUCCUGCCCUUCUAUGGCACCGCUGAUCUGUCAAAAUUCAGUGCAGUUGAUUUAAUUUAUACUGAUAUGUGUGAGAGAAGAUGGGGCCUUUCAUUGCUUUGAUACAUUUCUCUUCCUCCAAGCAAUAACUGUUGUGCAUUUGGAAAGAUAUAUUUCUUGUGCGUUUAAACGUGGAAGGAUUAUUGGAGUGUUGUAUAAAGCCUUUGUCAUGGACGUGAAAUUUCACGCAGCGGUAGGUUCAGCUGAGUGGCUCUUAAAUCAUGUAGCAGUUCUCAGAUUAAAGACAAUCCCAAAGUAUGAAGUAUAGGUAAUCACAUUACUUUAAAUAAUUUCUGUUUGUAAUAUUUCUGGUAAUUUCUGUUAUAGAAGAGGAAUUAAAUUUGGAUAAUAAUAAGUGUCAGAUUAUCAAAGACAAAUUAGUCUGUUUCAGAAGCAUCAAAACAGCUCUACUGGGCCAGAGAAAAGACCUUCUCUGAGUCAGACCAGAGCUCAAUCCUUUACUCUCUUUUUCCAAAGCAUCUGCUACUGGCUGGUGUAGAGCAGCAGCAGCAGAGGCAGUAUUCCUUCCCAGCUUCUGGCAGCUGGUCUUUGGUUACUGCUUGAGCCAGAGGUUCUCUCUGCAUCAUUGUAUUUAAUAGCCCACGAUGGACCUUUCUUCCAUGAAUUUCUCUAAUUGCUUUUCUUUUAAUGGAGUUAUGCUUUUAGUUUUCAUAACAUCCUGUGGCAAUAAGUUCCACAACUUAAUUAUGUAGUGUAUAAUAAAAAAAAUAAAAUUGACCCCUCUUGUUUUAAGCAAACUGUCCAACCAUUUCAUUUGGUGCCCCCUAUUUCUGGCAUCAUGAGAACAGUUGUUCCCGCUCUGUGCUAUUCUUGAUACCAGACCAUAAUCAUGUCCUUCUUCACAGUGAUCUCUCUUGCAGGCUGCAAAGUCCUCGUCUGGAUAAUCUCUUCCUGUAAAGAAACUCUUUUGAAUCUCUGCUAUUUAUGUCUUCCUUCUCCCUGUCGUUUUCUAAUUAUCCCAAAUCCAUUUCAGAACUAUGUGCAGUAUUGAAGAUGUGGGCAAAAUUCAGUUUGUACGCAGAGAGAUGAUGUUCCUAUUUCUUUUGUAAUCAUCCCUGACAUUGUUUUCCUUUACCAUCCCCAAGCAUUCAAGUUGGUGCUUUCAGAGAGCUCCACGUUGUUGUUUCAAGAUCUCUCUCUCCGGAGUAAUAACAGGGCAUCUUGGACCACAGGCAACAUGGAGAGGAUUGAAAUAGAAGAUAUUAUAUAGAUAUAAUAGAUUAAUUAUUAAUUAUAUAUUAAAAUCAGAAUUUGAACAUAA